rnacentral:misc_RNA from 1 species
GUAGGUGAACCUGCGGAAGGAUCAUUACCUAGAGUUUGUGGGCUUUGCCCGCUACCUCUUACCCAUGUCUUUUGAGUACUUACGUUUCCUCGGCGGGUUCGCCCGCCGACUGGACAAAAUUAAACCCUUUGUAAUUGAAAUCAGCGUCUGAAAAACAUAAUAGUUACAACUUUCAACAACGGAUCUCUUGGUUCUG